GAUGAACGCUGGCGGCGUGCUUAACACAUGCAAGUCGAACGGUGAACCCGGAGCUUGUUCUGUGGGCUCAGUGGCGAACGGGUGAGUAACACGUGAGCAACCUGCCCUUGACUUUGGGAUAAGCGCUGGAAACGGCGUCUAAUACUGGAUAUGUGCCGUGCUCGCAUGGUCUGCGUCUGGAAAGCAUUGCGGUUGGGGAUGGGCUCGCGGCCUAUCAGCUUGUUGGUGGGGUAAUGGAUUACCAAGGCGUCGACGGGUAGCCGGCCUGGGAGGGUGACCGGCCACACUGGGACUGAGAGACGGCCCAGACUCCUACGGGGGACAGCAGUGGGGAAUAUUGCACAAUGGGCGCAAGCCUGAUGCAGCAACGCCGCGUGAGGGAUGACGGCCUUCGGGUUGUAAACCGCUUUUGGCAGGGAAGAAGCGAAAGUGACGGUACCUGCAGAAAAAGCACCGGCUAACUACGUG
rnacentral:rRNA from 1 species